rnacentral:rRNA from 1 species
GAUGAACGCUGGCGGCGUGCCUAAUACAUGCAAGUCGAGCGAACAGACGAGGAGCUUGCUCCUCUGACGUUAGCGGCGGACGGGUGAGUAACACGUGGAUAACCUACCUAUAAGACUGGGAUAACUUCGGGAAACCGGAGCUAAUACCGGAUAAUAUAUUGAACCGCAUGGUUCAAUAGUGAAAGACGGUUUUGCUGUCACUUAUAGAUGGAUCCGCGCCGCAUUAGCUAGUUGGUAAGGUAACGGCUUACCAAGGCGACGAUGCGUAGCCGACCUGAGAGGGUGAUCGGCCACACUGGAACUGAGACACGGUCCAGACUCCUACGGGAGGCAGCAGGAGGGAAUCUUCCGCAAUGGGCGAAAGCCUGACGGAGCAACGCCGCGUGAGUGAUGAAGGUCUGCGGAUCGUAAAACUCUGUUAUUAGGGAAGAACAAAUGUGUAAGUAACUAUGCACGUCUUGACGGUACCUAAGCAGAAAGCCACGGCUAACUACGU